AUACGGAGGGGGCUAGCGUUGUUCGGAAUUACUGGGCGUAAAGGGCGCGUAGGCGGGCUGGUCAGUCAGAGGUGAAAGCCCGGGGCUCAACCCCGGAACUGCCUUUGAUACUACCAGUCUAGAGUUCGAGAGAGGUGAGUGGAAUUCCUAGUGUAGAGGUGAAAUUCGUAGAUAUUAGGAAGAACACCAGUGGCGAAGGCGGCUCACUGGCUCGAUACUGACGCUGAGGUGCGAAAGCGUGGGGAGCAAACAGGAUUAGAAACCCCAGUAGUCC
rnacentral:rRNA from 1 species